CUGAGUCAGGAGGAUUUCAAAUUCAAACUCAGCCUGGGUAAUUUAAUAAGACUCUGUCUUUACAACACACACACAAAGAAAUACAGCUUAACAAAUAAAGGAACUGCUGCUUAAAUCAAAGCAGAAGCAAGAACUCACCACCAGACAUGGCUGAAGCACUUCCUACCUCCCUUUGCUCACGGGCCUCCCCUCCUGUUACUCAGCUGGCUGCCUGCGUGUGUGAACAAAGCACCCCAGGUGCACAUGCAGUGCUGUGGCCAGAUUAACCCUUGCCUGACCUCCCUCGCCUCAUCGGGAUGAUUCUUACUGAACCGGAGCAAACUGUGCCUCAACCGGAGGAGGAGGUAGCACAGAAGAAGAAAGAUAUCCCAGAAGAAACUGAAGAAACAAAACCGUAUGGCAUGGGACUAAAAUAAGC
rnacentral:lncRNA from 1 species